GCUGCACAGCCUGCAGAAGCCUUUGCUUGAAGCAUCUCAGAGCAGUCACCUGUCCCUGGUAGCAGGGAAAUUUCAGGAGGUGGGAUGAGCACUAAGUUGACUCCAGCAGUCAGCUCUGCUGUUCCUUUUCUGACUGGCCUUGGCUUUAAAGGAAUUUGCUCUGGGGAAGGAGACAGCUGCUGCUCUGAUGAAGGAUUUUUCUGAGCAGGCCUCCCAAGCUAGAUAUGUCAGUGUGAGAUGCUGCCUACGUUUUUCAUUGUGACCAACAGGUUGUUAGACUGCAAUCAAAAGCAGUUGGUAGGAAUGGAGCUGUCCCUGUUAUGAGAUUUGAACUCCUGGCAUCUUUAUCCACUGGAACUUGAGUGCCCAGGAGACACUAGAGAGGGGAUUUUGAGAGCAUUUCACAAGUCCUGCAGCUGUGAGCCGGUUUCAGCAUGAGGAAAAGCUCUCCAUCAUCCCAAUGCACAGGAAAGAGAAGGCAGAUGACAGUAGCUAUCCUCCUUCAAUACUGAGGAAAAGGCAACCUGUGGAUCAAGCUGUGGGGGAAAAGCGGAAAGUAGAGAGAAGGGUUCGAUUUCGUGAGCCAGAAGUCAUUGAACAUGCCAUUUCCUGCUGUGACUACGUAGUGGUAGAUGACAGGUCAUCAUCUGGAUUGCCUAUGCUCCUGUGGCUCUCAUUUUGUGCAGUGCUGAUCCUUGCUGUGAGUCUCUACUACACCAGCAUGAAGCAAGAUGUCAAAGUCCUGGAGGAAUUUCAAUCCCGACUUGUUAUCUUCUUUCUUCAUAUAAGACACGUUGCUCAGAGAUGUUGGACUUGGUUUGUGAAGCAGUAGCAAUGUCCUUCAGCCUGACACUGUUAAGCAGCAUGAGUCAGUGCAAAACUCCCAGUUUACUCCAGCCACAUGCAAGGAAACACUGUCCACCUCAAAGAGCAAGAAAAUCACCCCUGUUGUGCAUCAUCCAGCAGCCACUUCUUUUUUCUUCUUUGUUUGUUUUUCCACACCAAUGAACAGUCAUUACCAGUGCCUUGAGUUCUCACCAAACUCAUGCUCCAUCACCCUGAACAGCAAACAAGUAUCUCAGUUUUGUCCCCCAUAGUUUAUGAACUGCUGAUAUGAGGAGCAAAAGUAGAGAGAGAAACAGAUUGAUCUGUGCAGGCAGCAGCAAGCUCUGAGGAAAAAUCUCCUGAGUCUCAGGUCAAGGCUUUAGAUAUCAAAUCACCUUUCUCCUUAAGUCUCCUAAGAGCUAUUCUGCAAAAGUUAAAAUAAAGCAGAACUAUUGCACCAACACUUCUCUGGUGGCCAAAGGCUUGACAAGCUGCUAUAUUUAUACACCUGAAAUGUUUAUUAGUAAAAUCCCAGCAAAUGGCUUUCUCGUUUCCCUUCAUGCAUUUUUUUUUUACUCCAUGGGCAAAAGCUGUUUCUUACUGAUUCACUUAACUCCCAGGAGUGAAAAACAACACGAAAACUCAUUUAAACAGAAAAUAGUUUAUUUGCCUAACAUAAAAAAUAGCAGCAUUGAAACUCAGGCUAAUCAUCAGAUCGGUAGUUUAAUCCUCUGGGUUUGAUUCAGUCCAUAAACUCUGCGAGCUGACUUAAAAGAUUUAUGAUAAUGCUUGUAUUCAGCCAGAGGUUAUACUUUUUAUGCCCUAGUAUUUGGGGCCUUAUAUCACGGCAAUAUGGACUGGUUAUGAAGGAGUGGGAGGCCAAGUCCCUUUACCCCUCCAUUGCCUCCCAUACUAUGCAGGUCUCUGAAGAGAAUCCUAUUAAUGCAGAUCAUGUGAAAUGGUGCUCUGGGUAUCUGAGAGGAGAGCAAAUUGGUGCAAGCUUGUGAGCUUCAAAGAACCAGCACAAACACCUUUUUAGGCCUUAGAUUCUUCACAAGUAGUACCUGAUAUGUGCUUGGAGUUAUUUGGUAUGAUAAAAUUGACAUCAGAACCUGUAAAAGCUGAAGAAAAGGAAGCAGGAAAAAGAGGGGGAAAGAAAACACUGCAGAGAAGAUUAAGUGAUGCCUGCAAGACCUUGGCUGGAAUUCCCCUGCCAAGACAACCACCAAAAAGAAAAAAAUGGUGCUUUAUUUUUAAUAGAAUUUUUUAAGAGGGCUAUACCUCUGCCCCAGCAAUUUUCUCCCAAGCAGCCCAAGGACUUUAACCAGGAGAUGAUAAACAGAAAUGCAAUAUGCAGCCUUCUCUCAAGAGGAGAGUAGGCAGCAACUUGAUUGAGAGCAAGUAAAAAAAAUUGCUGCCCAGGAUAGAAAGAAGUGACUUCAGUGGCUGUUCUCAGGCUCCUCCUAAGCUGACAAAGCCACAGGCAUUGCAUUUGACAUGUGCCGGUCUGGGAAGCAGAGGUUGCUGCAGGAGGAGUAUUUGGCUCAGGGGCUCUGUGUGCAAACCACUCAGGUACCCCAGCUCAGAGGGUAAGUUUCACACUGCUUCCCUCCCCUCUCUACUGUCUCAGCCCUGCUGUUUAGGUAAUAAAAAAGAAAGGUUUUAAA